UGUGUGUGUGUGUGUGUGUGUGUGUGUGUGUGUGUGUGUGUAGGCAUAUGUGGUUUAUGAGACCAAUUUUCAGGUUUACAUACCAGCAUUACAAGACCAUUCGGUUUAUGAGACCAUUUUGUGUGGUCUCGUAAUUCUGGAAAUUUGAAUUGUUAUAAUUAAUGACUAAUAAUAAUUCUAAAAAUUAUUAAUGCUUGUAUGUUUACUAUAUUAAUACUUUUAUUAAGUAUUGUCGCUAUUUUACUGUUAUGACACUCCCUACCUUUUUUAUGACGUUUAUAAACAUGGUCCUCUUAAACCAUGAUGUGUCUGUGUGAACUCGGAACAGUGCCCCUGUAGGUGGGAAUUGGUAUUGCGUGGUAUACACAUUCGCGCCAUAUUACACACAUAUUCGCGCCAGAUUACACACAAAUUCGCGCCAAGUGCCAUUGACGGAACAGUCAAGGAGAUUUGCAGCAGAACAAACGCAGCAGCUGGAUCUGUGGGGAUAAAAUGAUUCGGAGUCAUCGGAGAAGAGGACCAAAUCCUCUGAAAGAUGCAGAAAUCCAUGAACAAAAGGGCAAGGACAAAGACAACAUAACCAGAAAAUAUAUUAAUCCCAUCAAAGCUCGUCCAUGAGCCUGUCGUUUCAGGAAGUGAAGUCACAUCUCCUAAAGAGGUUUGUUAAUAAUUUUGUCAAAUUUGUGUCACACGUGUUAUAAUUUGAUCUGAAGUGAAAUUGUAAUUCCUACUAAAUGUGAUUCCGCAGUUAACAUGUUAAAACACCUGUGUGUUAACAGUAUA